rnacentral:rRNA from 1 species
UACGAAGGGGGCGAGCGUUGUUCGGAAUUACUGGGCGUAAAGGGCGCGCAGGCGGCUCUGAAAGUCAGAUGUGAAAGCCCCGGGCUUAACCUGGGAAUUGCAUUUGAUACUCUGGAGCUUGAGUGUCGGAGAGGGUAGCGGAAUUCCCCAAGUAGAGGUGAAAUUCGUAGAUAUGGGGAGGAACACCGGUGGCGAAGGCGGCUACCUGGACGACUACUGACGCUGAGACGCGAAAGCGUGGGGAGCAAACAGG